GACGAACCGAGCGAACGUUGUUCGGAAUCACUGGGCUUAAAGGGCGCGUAGGCGGGCCGCCAAGUCCGAGGUGAAAUCCUCCGGCUCAACCGGAAAACUGCCUCGGAUACUGGAGGCCUGGAGGGGGGUAGGGGCACGCGGAACUGUGGGUGGAGCGGUGAAAUGCGUUGAUAUCCACAGGAACUCCGGUGGCGAAGGCGGCGUGCUGGACCCCACCUGACGCUGAGGCGCGAAAGCCAGGGGAGCAAACGGG
rnacentral:rRNA from 1 species